AAAGGCAAAGAUGGCCACGUCUCUCUCUACUGCAAAUAAGGUAGUUCUUCUGUCUUCACCAUGAAGCAAACACGAGUUUUGACAGAAGAGACGAACACACACAGACAAACACAAUCUUUUGACAGAAGAGACUAACACACACAAACUCUCUACGAUUCUCUCUCAAAGAAGGUACAAAGAUCCAUAAUUAGUAUGUCUUAAAUAUAUAUUUUUACUUAAAUCUAACCGUAGUUUUACACACGGGGUCUCUCAGCCAGAGAGAAUGAAGAUAUACAACGUUCACCCUUAUAGGGGAAUAGUUCGAUAACUUAUUUUUGUUUUUAGUCACAAGUUUUGGACUUAAGGUGGCUAAUAAAGCAGUCGGAGAGUUACCGGACGAUUGAUGUCAGAGAUUUGUCCAGGUGACAUCUCCAUUUUAUCAGCUUCGGCUCCCGCAAGAUUAUUCUUCUCCAUCUGUAAUAUAGUUUUAGGUCAAAACCAUUUAUAGUCAUUAAUUAACACAAAGAAAAUUCUUUUCCCACCAACCAUCAAAAAUAUAUAGCAAUCUGGUUUUCAUAAUUUGUCGAGCUUUUAGGGUCUUUCAUCAAGCUUAUAACGAAUCUCAAAUCAUGUAUAUAUAUCUACUUUUUCCUGAUUAACCUGAACAAGUAAAACUGAAAAACUAAGACUACUUGAAACUAACCAAUCGGAUCCCAACCUAAACCGUAACAGUAAACAAUCAUUCAGUUUCAUAAAUCUCUAACCAAAUUACCAAAACAGAAUGAUGUCCAACAACCUGAAAAGAAAUUAUUUUGACUUUACCCAAAUGACAUAUGAGAUUAUUUAGUUUUUCUUCUUCUUUUGGUUAAGAAUUGUUUAGGUAGUCGUGAAUAUAAAAAUGUACACAAACUUCGGUUUUUUCUUCCAGAUCCAGGCUUCAUUCGAUUUGGAUAUAUAAUCAGUAAAACUCAGAACCCUUAAGUUUAAGGAAAUGCUGCAUCCUCUAACUUCAAAGAACUAUACUACUUUUAGGAAUUAGGGUUUAAGACUUUUGUUGAAGUAUUAAGGUUUAUGACAGAGUUUAGGUUUUACUUUUAGCGUUAGGGUUUUAACUGUUUUACUAAUUUAUAAUAAUCCAAAUUAGAACCAAACCAAAAUUUUCCCCAACCAAAUCCAGACCAAUCAUUUUUGGUUUUCAUACAGUAAUACUCUCAUCAAAAUUAAGAUAAACCAAAAUGCCCUAAUCUCGACAUAUUCUUUUCUAUAAUACCUUAAGUAUAAUAUCUAUUGUACAUGUUAUAUCUGCAAGUAUAAGAGUAUGUGUAAAAGUGCUUGUUAGCUUUUGCAUAUAUGAAGAAUGUAGCUUUGUUACCUGGCUAGCCAAACCCUGGUUCUCUUCUUUCAGCAAUUUCUCCUGUUUUAAAGGUCAACAUGAUUAUCACUUACCAAGUUUCUAAACCUAAUUUCAGAUUCUAGAACCCAAAUCAUUUGCAUCAUCCCCAAAAAGACUACAUGAACUGUGAAGAAGUUUAAUGUAGAUUUGCCAGCUCAUAAAGCACACUUAGGGAAACUAAUACAAUACGCAAAAGUUUUGAGGCUCUCGACACAAGGUAAGAUAUCUAAUUAAGUGCUAUAAAAUAAGAUAUCUAACCUUUUCUUUGAGGCUAUCAACAAGCUUCAACAUUAGUUCUGUCUGCAACGGAUUAAAUAUAAGCGCUCUGAAAGUAAGAAAAAAAAAGAGAUUUUGUAGUGAACGUACCUUCCUAGCUCUAGUUACGGAGAGGGCAGUCUCAAGGUGGUCCUCCAGCUGAACGAGGGAGUCGACGCUUACAUCAGAAUUUGAUUCCAC
rnacentral:lncRNA from 1 species